rnacentral:lncRNA from 1 species
UCGUGCAACUACCUCGAAACUCCCUGAAAUACCUCUGGUCAACCCAACCGGAUCUACUCAACCUGGGAGGAACCUGGAUCUGCAUGCAAGGUGCACGGAUUAAAGUGAGUACUCCAACUCAGUGAGUAAUAAAUAUAAAUAUAGACUGAAAGUAAGAAAUCACAUAAAUACACAAACUAAGCUAAAACCCAAUGAUACAAUAAUAAGGGAAAAUUAAUAAUAGAACAAUAGUUAAUGAAACAAAUGCAUGAAUGCAAUGCAAUGCAUAUGAUGGUACAUUCCAGUACCCACUACGGCAUGCAGCCCGAGCCAUCCAUAUUUUUUUAUCAUUGACAACGCUCACUAGGGGUGUGUACAGACUCUGGAGGGGCUCCUACAGCAUAACAAGCCAUCUCGUGGCAUCAAAUCUAGGCCCUCGGCCUUAUAUCAAUAUCAGUGUAAUCGACCAGGCUCUCGGCCUCAAUAUCAAUAAAACCAACAAGGCUCCUGGCCUCAAUAUCAAUGUAACACUGCAGCAGCAAGCAGCCCGAUCCCAACUCAGUCCAGAAAACAUCAUAAGCCCCUUGGGCAUUUAUAAAAUAGUAGUUACCAGCCCGAAAUAUCAUUUAAGAGGUCAUUUGAAUUUUCAAAACUUAAAAGUACGAUUGAGUUUGCAAAAUAGUGUUUAAAACCUUGGGCUGAGACCAAAUGAUAUGCAGAAUAAGCUAAAACAGUAAUAUCAAUCCCCGAUGGAUUCCACAGGUUGGCACAAGGCCCCAAAAAUGGCAACAAGCCUAAUUAACAUCAAUAAAGUAUGUGUCUCAAUCACCAAUAUAGUAUAGAUAUCACUCGGGAUGGACCAAGUCGUGAUCCCCAAUAGUGAACGACCCCGCACUCGUCAUAGAAUGCGUAUCACACCUAAAUAUAGCGUUAUGAUGUGAAAGUUUGGGGUUUCAAACCCUCAGAACAACAUUUACAUCUUUUACUUACCUCUAGCCAGCCAAAGACUAGCUUGCAAUGCCGUUUCCUCUGGAAUCGACCUCCUCACGCAUUGAAUCUAGCCAAAACCACAACGAAUACGUUACAAUAGGCUAUGGGAAUAUAACCCAAUCGGAAAGACUCAAAAAAUAUUGAAAUUCACGAAAUUUGCAAAACCCGAGCCCCGGGCCCACUUCUUGAAGGUCAAAAUCUUUAUACCAAAAUGUUCCUUAUCUCGCCACGAGUCCAUACAUAUCAAAUUCACAAGAAUCGGAGUCCAUUUGACCCUUUAAACCCCUAGUUUAAACUCUCUUAUGUUUCAAGCCCUAUCCUUCAUUUUUUAACCUUUAAUUCCUUGGAUUUUCAGUGUUAAUACAUUGAUUUUUCACCAUAAUAACAUAUUCUAAGUCCAAGAAUCCAUACCUAAUGAAAGCCCUCGAAACCCUCUUCAAAAUUGCCCAAACCCCUCUUAGUCUGAAGUGGAAAUGUUGUGUUCUUUCGAAAAUUCGCAAAGGUCAAAUUAAAUGCUUCUGCCUAGUCCUUUUUGCUUCUGUGACCAAAAUACCGCUUCUGCGAUUUUCCUUAUAUCACCCCAGAUCGCUUCUGCAGUCCAGAACAACUUCUGCAGUGACCACUUAUGUAGACUCAUGUCCGCUUCUGUGGAAAAUUUCCCAAGCUUAGAAACCAUAAUUGCUACCUCCAGCUGCAAUGUGCAGCAGUUAGGAAAUCAAAAAAGUGAUUCUAAUUCAAAUGACAAAUCUGCAUAAACUCUUCCAAAGCCAAAGGGUGAUCCUGCUCAGUUUAGUGAAAUGCAUAACAUUGUUCCAUUAAAGAUUGUAAAAGAGAAUUUGGUAUCAAAUGUUAAUACUGCUGGGACAAGAUUGAAG